rnacentral:rRNA from 1 species
GGGAGUGAAAUAGAACCUGAAACCCUGCACUUACAAGCUGUGGAAGCACAUUUCUUGUGUGACCGCGUACUUUUUGUAGAACGGGCCAACGAGUUACGUUAAGUAGCAAGGUUAAGCACUUAAGGUGCGGAGCCGUAGCGAAAGCGAGUUUUAACUGAGCGUUCAGUUACGUGACGUAGACCCGAAACCGGGCGACCUACCCAUGAGCAGGAUGAAGCGAAAGUAAAAUUUCGUGGAGGUCCGAACCCACGAGCGUUGAAAAGCUCGGGGAUGACUUGUGGGUAGCGGUGAAAUUCCAAUCGAGCCCGGAGAUAGCUGGUUCUCCCCGAAAUAGCUUUAGGGCUAGCCUCAAGGUGAGAGAUACGGAGGUAGAGCACUGAAUGUCCUAGGGGGUAUUGCACCUA